rnacentral:rRNA from 1 species
GGAAGAACCAACAGGGAUUGCCCUAGUAACGGCGAGUGAAGCGGCAAAAGCUCAAAUUUGAAAUCUGGCACCUCUGGUGUCCGAGUUGUAAUUUGGAGAGGCAUCUUCCGGAGGGGUCCAGCCUAUGUUCCUUGGAACAGGACAUCACAGAGGGUGAGAAUCCCGUUCAUGGCUGGAUGUACCCUUCAUCAGGUAGUGCCUUCUACGAGUCGAGUUGUUUGGGAAUGCAGCUCAAAAUGGGUGGUAAAUUUCAUCUAAAGCUAAAUAUUGGCGAGAGACCGAUAGCGCACAAGUAGAGUGAUCGAAAGAUGAAAAGCACUUUGAAAAUAGAGUCAAACAGUACGUGAAAUUGUUGAAAGGGAAGCGCUUGAGACCAGACUCAGCCUUGGGCAAACAACUGUCCUUCUGGAUGGUGCACUUGCCCUUGGCUGGGCCAGCAUCAGUUAGGACGGUGGAAUAAAGGCCUGGGGAAUGUGACUCCACUUAGGAGUGUUAUAGCCUCAGGUGCCAUCCCGCCUGGCCUGACUGUGGACCGCGCUUCGGCUAGGAUGCUGGCGUAAUGGUCUUUAGCGGCCCGUCUUGAAACACGGACCAAGGAGUCUAACAUCUAUGCAAGUGUUUGGGCUACAGACCCUCACGCGUAAUAAAAGUGAACGGAGGUGGGAACCCUAUACGGGGUGCACCAUCGACCGAUCCUGAUGUCUUCGGAUGGAUUUGAGUAGGAGCAUAGCUGUUGGGACCCGAAAGAUGGUGAACUAUGCCUGAAUAGGGUGAAGCCAGAGGAAACUCUGGUGGAGGCUCGCAGCGGUUCUGACGUGCAAAUCGAUCGUCAAAUUUGGGUAUAGGGGCGAAAGACUAAUCGAACCAUCUAGUAGCUGGUCCUGCGAG